rnacentral:rRNA from 1 species
GACAGAGGAUGCAAGCGUUAUCCGGAAUGAUUGGGCGUAAAGCGUCUGUAGGUGGCUUUUUAAGUCUGCUGUUAAAUCCCAGGGCUCAACCCUGGGCGUGCAGUGGAUACGGGCAGGCUGGAGACAGGCAGGGGAGAACGGAAUUCCCGGUGUAGCGGUGAAAUGCGCAGAUAUCGGGAGGAACACCGGUGGCGAAGGCGGUUCUCUGGGCCUGUACUGACGCUGAGGAGCGAAAGCGUGGGGAGCGAACAGG